rnacentral:lncRNA from 1 species
UCUUUGGUCUGUCCUGCUGCACACAGGGAAUGCAGGAUAUUUUCAUAUCUCGGUUCGCUGACAUGUUUGAGGAGCUUGAGUCUGAUCCAGGCCAUGGAGGAAAACUAUGAGGUGGACCUGGUCUACAUCACAGAGCGCAUCAUUUCUGUGAGCUUCCCCAGUAAUGUAGAAGAGCCAAGCUACAGCGCUAACAUAAAGGAGGUCGCCACCAUGCUACGCUCCAAACAUGGUGACAACUACUUGCUCUUCAACCUCAGUGAAAAGCGAUUUGAUAUCUCCAAGCUGAAUCCCAAAGUGCUGGAUUUUGGCUGGCCGGACCAUCACGCUCCAGCCCUGGAUAAGAUCUGCAGCAUCUGCAAAGCCAUGGACACUUGGAUGAACGCUGACAGUCACAAUGUGGUGGUCUUACACAAUAAGGGAAACCGAGGUCGAACGGGGGUAGUUGUGGCUGCAUACAUGCAUUACAGCAACAUAUCAGCGAGUGCAGACCAGGCUCUGGACAGGUUUGCCAUGAAGCGGUUUUAUGAAGAUAAAGUGCUUCCUGUGGGUCAGCCCUCUUCCUGUGGGUAUGUGCAGUACUUCAGUGGUCUGCUCUCCGGCCAUAUCAAGAUCAACAACAAGCCCCUGUUCCUGCACCACGUCAUCAUGCACGGGAUCCCAAACUUCGAGUCCAAAGGAGGUUGCCGCCCUUUCCUCAAGAUCUACCAGGCUAUGCAAUUUCCUGAAUAUGGAAAAGUGGAAUUUGUCUUUUCUUUCGGCCCAGAAAAAAUCCAAGGAAUGGACCACCUUGAGAACGGGCCCAGUGUUUCUGUGGACUACAAUACCCAAGAUCCUCUGAUUCGCUGGGAUUCUUACGAGAACUUCAACCAGCACUGUGAAGAUUCAGAGGAGGACGUUAUUCACACACAAGGUCCAUUGGAUGGUAGUCUCUACGCUAAGGUUCGGAAGAAAGAGUCUCUUGAGGGAGGGGUCACAACCAAUGGUCUCCCAGCCAGUGUCGAUCACACUUUACCUGCUGUAGACCACACUCUACCACCAGUCGACCACGCCCUGUCUGUAAGCAGUGACUCGGGCAACUCCACUGCUUCCAUCAAAACCGACCGCACGGAUGAACCGGCCUUAGUGAGUCAGCCGUCCUCCCAGCCCCUCAGCCCAGAGGAAAAACAGGAGCUGGACCAGUUGCUCAGUGGCUUGGAAGCACCAAUGCAACGCACAGGUUACCAAAGCAGCCCUGGCAGCGGAGGCGGUGGAGUCCUACACCUCGUCCCCGCCCAGGUUCAUGUCAAUGGACACAACAACAUAGACCGUGAGACAGAUAUCCUUGAUGAUGACCUGCCCAACAGUCAGGAAGGGAACAGUGCGGACAGUCUCGGGACCAUCUCGUCUUUUGAGGGCAGAGCCACUCCAGCAGAUCUGUACUACCAGCCAGAGACGGUCAUUAAUGGAAAAGAUGCACAAGAUGACUUAGAGAAGGGUGUCCACAAGAAAAUACCAGAGCCCAAAGUCCAAAGCUCCUCAUCUGUUCAAGAGCUCUUAGGGUCCUCUAGUGGCUUUGCCAACCAGAAUGGCAACAUCUGCCGAUCUCAAUCAUUAGGGGCAGCCCCGACCACAGAGCAGAAGUACAUGCCCAAAGCUCCCACACGCACGAUUAGCAGUAGGGAUGCAGUGCAAAGGGGACUGAAUGUGUGGCAACAAUAUGGUGUUCCUGAGGUCCCAGUCACAGAUGGGGUCACCUUCAACCCUGUACUACAGUCCCACAGUCUUCCAGAGUUUCCUCACAUGGCAUCUCAGCAAGAAAUUGAGCAGUCCAUUGAAGCACUUAACAUGCUGAUGCUGGACCUUGACCCAGCACUUACACAAGUCCCCAAGUCCCAUAGUGCCCCAUCUGGAGAUGGUGGAGUGGUCACCACUCAACCAUCAAACCCAUUAUCACAAACCCAAGCACGGCCGUCCUACCAAUCUGACACAGCCAUUCAUGGCCGUGGUGGAGUCUCUUGGGGGGGAUACCCUUCGACCUUUCAACAGGUAGCCGCAGAGCCUCCACAACCCACCAUGAACCAGCAGAGACCCACAGCCAUAUCCCAUUCCACGUCCCAGUCCCCUGAGCCCCAGGAGAGUCAGCGUAGCUAUUCUGCCUCCUCAUCCCCUCUACCUAAAGAGUCUGAACCGGAAGAUGCCAACUACAAACUGGGUGGUCUUGUAGCUCACCGUGUAGCUGGAGUUCAGUCUGGUGAAAUGUCACCAGAUGAGACUUCAGUUCCUGGACGGUGCCGGACCAUCAGUGAGGACCUUUCCCAAGAUGAAAGCCCAACCCGAGGAAGCUCAGUCCGCUCCCCCAUCCGCUGCAUUUCACCCGAGUUGGCCAAUACGAUUGCUUUGAACCCUGGGGGGCGGCCCAAGGAGAGACACAUGCAUAGCUACAGAGAAGCGUUUGAGGAAAUGGAUGGGGGUCCCGUCAGCCCCCCUCCGAUCGCUAGUGGUCGAUCUCCACCAGGACUGGCCAAAACACCACUGUCCUUCCUGGGCUUGAAACCCCACAACCCUGCUGAGAUACUGCUCAACCAGACAGGUUCAGGUGAGCCUCGUAGCUAUGUGGAGUCUGUGGCCAAAGCAGCUGCAGGUGGGCUGCCAGCGUCGCCUGUGUCUCCAACAUAUGACAGCAACAGCUUUGCACGUCCUGUCGGGCCUGAAAGCACAUUGACUGACAGCGGGGUUGGGUUGAAUUCUUUGUCCCAGGCUGCUGUCGACUCUAUCCUUCACUCCCAGCCCUCCGAAAGCACAUACCAAACACCUACACCCUCUUACCCCACCUCUAGCAGCAUGUUGGGUGGCUACAUCACUCCUGAUAUCAGCCCCUCUCUGCCAGAGACCAUGCAAAAUAACGCCACCACCAUCCAGCCACUCGCCGGAAGCCCUGGCACAAGACACCAAGCCGUCCUGCCCGACAUGAUGUCCGCUCCCGGUCUCCAGCACAGAAUACCUAAUCAGGAUGUCCCCAUUCUGGCCCAACAACCAACCCCGGCCAAUGGUCAUCUGCCUGGAAUGGCCGGUAGUCCCAUGCAAGGAAGACAUGCAAUGGUGUCUCAAGGAACGCAGAGCAGUCCGAUGCUGUCCAGACAGUAUCCUGUCACCUAUGGGACUCAGAGUAGUCCGAUUCUCAGCAGACAACCUAUGGGACAAGCCGUCCAGAGCAGCCCCGUCCUCAACCAACAGGUGUCCCUAAAUCAACCAAUCAUUCUGCCUAACCAAAGCAGCCCGGUGUUGAGUAGACAGCCAUCCGUUAGCCAACCCAACCAGGGCAGCCCCGUCCUGAGCAGGCAAUCCCCACUUACACAUCCCAGUCAGGGCAGCCCCGUUCUGGGAUGCCAUCCGUCCCUAAUGCAGGGUAGCCCCAGUCUGGACAGGCACCCAAUGUACAGUGGUUACACUACUCCAGAAGAGCGACACGGAGCCCUUUCGCGCCAGAGCAGCUCCUCUGGAUACCAGCCACCAUCUACACCUUCUUUCCCAGUCUCUCCGGCUGGAUACAUAGAUGGAGUGGGAUUCAGACAGGGCAGUCCUGCCCCCCAACCUCAGCUCCCCGAAAAGAGACGUAUGUCCAGCAGCGAUCGCUCUACUGGUGGACUGUCCUACGGAACGCUCAACGGGAAGAUGUCCUCGCCAGUGUCCAGUGGUGGCAGCACUCCAAGCGCUCAUUUCUUCCACACGCUCCCUGAUUUCUCCAAACUCAACAUGUGCGAAGGAAGUCCAGAGACCAGUCUGCACGUGAAGUUUGUCCAGGACACGUCCAAAUUCUGGUAUAAACCAGAUAUCUCCAGAGACCAAGCCAUCAACAUGCUGAAAGAUCAAGAGCCUGGAGCCUUUGUCAUUCGGGACAGUCAUUCAUUCAGAGGGGCCUACGGCUUGGCCAUGAAAGUUGCCUCACCACCUCCGACUGUGCAACCUACAAAGAAAGCUGGAGAUGUCACUAAUGAGCUGGUGAGACAUUUCCUGAUUGAGACGAGUCCGAAAGGCGUGAGACUGAAGGGCUGCCCUAACGAGCUGUACUUUGGCUGCCUGUCUGCACUGGUCUACCAGCACUCAAUCACUCCACUGGCUCUACCCUGCAAACUAGUCAUACCAACCAGAGAUCCUCUAGAGGACUCUCCUGUGAUCGCAACACCAACUAACCCAGCGGCAGAGAUGCUCAAACAGGGUGCAGCAUGCAAUGUCCUGUACAUAAACUCGGUGGAUAUGGAGUCUCUGACUGGGCCUCAGGCCAUCGCCAAGGCCAUCUCAGAAACCAUGGUAGCCAGUCCCGCACCUUCAGCCACUAUUGUUCACUUUAAGGUGUCGGCACAAGGCAUCACUCUCACUGACAACCAGAGAAAGCUUUUCUUCAGACGUCAUUAUCCCAUCAGUACGGUCACGUUCUCAUUAACUUUAACCACAUAUUUUUUUCUUCUUCACAGGUUCUUUGGUUUUGUGGCCAGAAAGCAAGGCAGCACGACAGACAACGUCAGUCACCUGUUCGCCGAGAUGGAUCCCAAUCAACCGGCCACGGCCAUCGUCAGCUUUGUCUCUAAAGUGAUGACCAACUCUCAGAAGCAGUGA